AAAGAGUCAAGAAUGAGUUGGAAAUUAGCAACUAUACAAAAGAGCGAUUGAUUAUAUAAGAAUUUCCGACUCGGUCGUUCUGUAUCAGACUAAGAUCAUUUCUCCCUCAAGUCAGUUUCCGCUGAAUCUACACUCCCACCUCUCUCUCUCUCUCUCUCCCACCUCUCUCUCUCUCUCUCUCUUCUCUGCAUCAAUGGUUUUGCAUACCAAAGACUUCAUUUUUAUAUUUCUUUCUUUUUCUCGGCAAUGAGAUAGGAAUCAGAAAAGAGCACAACACCUACUGCAAGCAACCAAAAGAUU
rnacentral:lncRNA from 1 species